UUCCAUAUCUUCAAUCAAAUUAAACAUGUACAACUGUUACAUUACAAUGUUUCAUGGUAUUUUUCAUCAGUUGUUUUAUAUGAAAUGUAAUUUCCACCACACUCUGUCAUUGCCACAAUGCUAAUUCAUCACCAUCACAGUACAUAUUUUUGAGGCAAAGGUGUAUUAAAAUACAAUUGAUAUUGACUAUUUUUCCCAUAUGUGGACCGUAUAUGCGUGUUCUUAAGAUAACUCCUAAAAUAAUGUAAAAUAUUACGAUUUUAAUGUGGUAAAUUCAGGUUUCUAAGUAUCAUUAAGGCACAUAUGGACAUUUGACAUGACAAUGAUGAAUACAUUUAAUUAAGAAAACUUCCAAAUAGUAAAGAAAUACAUGAAAAAAUCUAAUUUGUGUAAAAUGUUAUACGAAAUACCAUAGGCACAAUUUCUGUAAAUUCCUUUUCAGCUAAAAUAGAAAAUGUUAUGACGUGGUGGUAAUGACAUUUCCCCUCUGGUAUUUGGGGAAACUGAUUAAAAGCUUUAUAUUCUUAAAUAGUAUGGUCUUAGCCACUAGUAGAUCUUGUUUCCAGACAGUGUGACGAACAUUUUCAGAAAGAUAAAAAGCAGUUUCAAUAGGUUUCAUUUUCAAAAACAUUUAACAUCCAAACGUGCCCGUAUUCGUAAAAUCAACCGGCUAUGAAACGAAACAGCAGAAAUACUUUGAAAAGAGCUACUGCAGUAUUUUUAUAACCCUAAUAUAGGGGCGUGUCAUGCCAAAUAGUGUCCCCCUCUACGUCACAAUGGGAUUCGAUUAGUUCUGGCUUCUGCUGCUAGGGCUGUUGCUUGAAUUUGAAACAUUCUGACAGGAUUACGUAAUGAAUCAAAGCGUCCGUUGCUAUGCUGGUUGCCUGGUUACCUCGUAGCGGUCGCGAAGGAAGGAGGACGCGGACAGUUCUAGUUCUAUUUCACCUCAGAAGCGCUCGCUUAGUCCGGGCAAAAAAUGUUUCCUCCGAAUUGCUCUCCAAGGACGGUGUUUUUGACCGUGACAACCUGCUGACUACCUGCUGCUUCAGUGGACCGAAGAGACUGGAAAGAGAACACUAUUUAUUUACCAUAGCGAGACCCAUACAGAAAGAGAGAGAGAGGAAGAAAGUGAGAAAGAAAGUGACAGAGGGAGAGAGAGAGGUGGGAAUAGAGUGAAAAACAGAGAGAGAAAUGAAGAGCGAGAGAAAGACAUCAAUGCAAACUUACUUAGACUUUAGUAUUUCAACAACUCUUCUCUUCCAAUUUUUUAGGCAAUCACAUGUACCUACCGGGGAAGGAUGGCCAGCCACACAGGAGAGUGAUUUUCACCAAGGAGGAAAUGGAGGCCGUGCUGACAGAGAUGCAUGCUGGACAUUUCGGAGUGAAUCGCAUGAUUGCCAAAAUCAACGGUCAACCACUGAAAUCCCUGACGCCUUACACUUCGGUGAAGCCCGUGAGACAAAGUAUGUUAAGCCUUGGUUGACAUUUGAGAAAGCAAUAAAUGGUUGUUAUGCUGAGCUCAUGAAAAAAGACAAGCCAGUGUAUGAAUCAAAUGUAUUUGCAUAUGAAUGGAGUGGAAAUUAACUGAUUUUGUGAUCUGCUAGGUAAGCAACUUUAAUGUGUCAAGCAGAUUACAUGUUUUCAUUGCCAUUUCCAAAACGUAGCAACGUGUUUAAGACAUGGAUUUCAUGUUGUAAUGUUAUCAAGGUACCAAAAUGUGGUUAGAAUUCAUGUUGCUAAAUGACUUAAAUGUAAAUGUAAUGUAAAUGUAUGUUUUCAUUUUAUUAGCUAAACAAAACAUGUUUAAACAGUGAAUAAAUCAGCCUUGUUUGCAUA